rnacentral:lncRNA from 1 species
CCCGAGGCAGCGAGGCAGGCCAUCUCAACCUGACCGUGAGGGCAGACAGGAAGGGGCAGGGCUGGCUGGUCUCUCUUCACCCGGAAACUGGCCGUCUGGGACAGCAGGGCCAAGCUGCCCACCGGUGGAGCCACAAACACACGUCUGAGUUCACUGACUUCAGGGGUCCUUGUGAUGUCCUGAGCCGUGACCUCAGGGGGUCGAAGGGAGCCCACUUCUUGGAAGCCAUCUCUUCCAGCGACCCUGCAGACUGGCUUGUAACACACCCUGGGUGCCUGACACAGAGCUCAUGGCCAAGAUGCCCGCCCAGAUCUGUGCAGCGUCCCUGCCCCCAGGAGCAGCUGAGGACACAGGCUGUCACAAUUGGCCAGACCGAGUGUUGCAGUGGAGAUGGCACAGCCUGGAGUAAAGAAGGGGGCACCCCUCCAGGCAGGGGAGCCAGAAACCAACUCAAGAGAGUUUGUACUGGGUUGAAUGUUGUCCCCCCCGAAUUCAUACUCCCCUGGAACCUCAGAAUGUGACCAUAAUUGGAAAUAAGG